rnacentral:misc_RNA from 1 species
AGCAAUACUGCUUAGUGGUGCCAAAAAUAAAAUAAAAAGAGCUAAAAAGAAAUAAACAUGUAGAAUAUAUGUUGAUUUUUCAUAUGGACAAGUUUCUAGAAAUUAUUUGCAGUAUUAUUAUUUUGGUUCUUUUUAUAUCAAUAAUUGAUUAACAUUUAUCAAUAUUUAUUUUUGAUUGCCCAAGUAACCUAUACCAGUUGACUGGACUGGAUAAAUGGGUAAACUAGCAUUAGGUACCCAGUACCUCGGGCCGUCACACCAUU